CAGCCGCCGCGGUAAUACCGGCGGCCCGAGUGGCGGCCACUAUUAUUGGGCCUAAAGCGUCCGUAGCCGGGAUGGUAAGUCCUCCGGGAAAUCUGGUCGCUUAACGAUCAGACUUCCGGAGGAUACUGCUGGCCUAGGGACCGGGAGAGGCCGAGGGUAUUCCCGGGGUAGGGGUGAAAUCCUGUAAUCCCGGGAGGACCACCUGUGGCGAAGGCGCUCGGCUGGAACGGGUCCGACGGUGAGGGACGAAGGCCAGGGGAGCGAACCGGAUUAGAUACCCGGGUAGUCCUGGCUGUAAACGAUGCGGACUAGGUGUCGGGCAAGCUAAGGGCUUGUCCGGUGCCGCAGGGAAGCCGUUAAGUCCGCCGCCUGGGGAGUACGGCCGCAAGGCUGAAACUUAAAGGAAUUGGCGGG
rnacentral:rRNA from 1 species